rnacentral:rRNA from 1 species
UACGAAGGGGGCUAGCGUUGCUCGGAAUCACUGGGCGUAAAGGGUGCGUAGGCGGGUCUUAAGUCAGGGGUGAAAUCCUGGAGCUCAACUCCAGAACUGCCUUCGAUACUGGCGAUCUUGAGUCCGGAAGAGGUGAGUGGAACUCCUAGUGUAGAGGUGGAAUUCGUAGAUAUUAGGAAGAACACCAGUGGCGAAGGCGGCUCACUGGUCCGGUACUGACGCUGAGGUGCGAAAGCGUGGGGAGCGAACAGG